GUGAUAUACGUCACAUGACGACACGAAGCAAGUUGAGCGACGCAACUUGCGUGAAGCAAACAGUCACAUUACUGCCUUUCACAGAUGUACUACAUAAUUUUGCGUUCGGAACGACUACAUUGAAUCAGCGCGGCAUUGAUGCGAUUAAUGGCAAUUACCAUCAUAAAAGUAUUUUGGAAACAACUCUCCGCCGAUACGGUCAAUUUGUAUUUACUUAACAGAAGCUAGAACGCGAACGAUUUCCACUGAUGAACUCGAGAACACAGUUAAAAGUACAAGUAUUUGCAACAUUAUGAGGUAUAGCAAAAUUAAAUAGUACACAUCCGGAGAAUUCCUCAAAAUCUGAUAUUUGUGAGCAGUAUAUUUCUUAGCGCAUACUUGACUGAUUUAUUUCCAUGUGAAUCACUUCCAACGCAUAUAUAUCCUAAAUAAGAAGCACGCAUAUAUUUAGUUGAUGCAUAUUUAUAUGUCCUUUAUUACAUAUAAAUUAUAAAUAAAACAGAUGAUAAUAAGAUAAAUGAUGAAUAAAAACAGAAUAGUUAAUUAGAAUUGAGAAUUCAAGGGAUCGCUGGCAAAGCAGCAUUUGUCUCCUUGCUUUGCCUUUGGUCGGUGUACUCUCUUACGUUUGAGGUUCAAUCCACGUUUUCUAAUAUCUGAUAGUUUUAUUGGCCAUUUGUGUGCAUGUCAAAUAGAGAAUUGUUUAGAAUAGGAUACUACUCAUCAAUUUGGAUGAUACCGAAACAUUUCAUCAAAACAAACGUUCUGGACAACUUUUUACUGCAUCUACAUACACCGGUCACUCGACAUUAGUUUUCAAGGUACAAAGAAAUUUAUGUUUAAUAUGUUUUAUUUAAUAAUUC